rnacentral:tRNA from 1 species
CCCUGAUCGGGCCGCCGGCGGGCGGACGGGCCCGCCGUUCGGGGCUCGGCCGCGGAGGUCACGAGCGCGGUUCGGGAGCGCGGAUCGGGGGC